rnacentral:rRNA from 1 species
CCUACGGGUUGCAGCAGUGAGGAAUAUUGGUCAAUGGAGGCAACUCUGAACCAGCCAUGCCGCGUGAAGGAUGACGGCCCUAUGGGUUGUAAACUUCUUUUAUAGAGGAAGAAACUUAUCUACGUGUAGAUAACUGACGGUACUCUACGAAUAAGGAUCGGCUAACUCCGUGCCAGCAGCCGCGGUAAUACGGAGGAUCCAAGCGUUAUCCGGAUUCAUUGGGUUUAAAGGGUCCGUAGGCGGAUUUUUAAGUCAGUGGUGAAAGCCGACAGCUCAACUGUCGAACUGCCAUUGAUACUGGAAGUCUUGAGUGUAAAUGAAGUGGGCGGAAUGAGUCAUGUAGCGGUGAAAUGCAUAGAUAUGACUCAGAACACCGAUUGCGAAGGCAGCUCACUAACAUACAACUGACGCUGAGGGACGAAAGCGUGGGGAGCGAACAGGAUUAGAUA